rnacentral:rRNA from 1 species
AGCAGCCGCGGUAAUUCCAGCUCCAAUAGCGUAUAUUAAAGUUGUUGCAGUUAAAAAGCUCGUAGUUGAAUUUCGGGGUUAGUAGGUUGGUCGUGCCACUGGUAUGCACUGGCCUCACUGAUUCCUCCCUCUUGUAGAACCGUAAUGCCAUUAAGUUGGUGUUGCGGGGAAACAGGACUGUUACUUUGAAAAAAUUAGAGUGUUUAAAGCAGGCUAACGCUUGAAUACAUUAGCAUGGAAUAAUGAAAUAGGACGUUCGAUCCUAUUUUGUUGGUUUCUAGGAUUGACGUAAUGAUUAAUAGGGAUAGUUGGGGGCAUUAGUAUUCAAUUGUCAGAGGUGAAAUUCUUGGAUUUAUUGAAGACUAACUACUGCGAAAGCAUUUGCCAAGGAUGUUUUCAUUAAUCAAGAACGAAAGUUAGGGGAUCGAAGACGAUCAGAUACCGUCGUAGUCUUAACCAUAAACUAUGCCGACUAGGGAUAGGAUGAUGUUAAUUUUUUAAUGACUCAUUCGGCGCCUUACG